AAAAACUAACUUAGCUACUUAUGAUGACAAUAACACCAUAUGUCAUUUUGCAUGCAUAGGAAUGAGAGGGAAAACUAAAAUUAAUGAUAGGAAUUAGCGGGAAAAAAUAGAGGGAAAGUUUUGUUUUUUUUUUAUUUUCAGUUUUUUAAUCAUUUUUAAGAGUGAAAUGUCUUAACUACCCUUACAUGUUGUGCACAUGGUCUUACAUAACAGAAAUAUGGAUGGAAUACAUGAAAAACUAACGGUAGGGGGCAAAUUAACUAAAAAAAAUUAGUUUGAGUUUGUUGAUGCACAAAAUCAGUGAGGACUUUGGUACAACAGAAAGUGUUAAGUUGAUGACCUUUGCUAGAUUGCUCCGAUCACUAGUGUGGAUAGGUAUGUAAAUGGAUAGAGAUAUAGAAGCAAACACAAAAUGUACGUGGUUCAUCCAGAUUGGCUACGUCUACGGAGUAAAGGAGUUCUCAUUAAUUGUGAAGGGUUUACACAAGUACAUAGGUUCAAACUCUCAUUUUGUGAGUACUAGUGAAUGAUUUAAUACAAAUGACAUUAGGAAAUAUUGUGAGAGAAUGAUCUCUAUUUAUAGAAGAGAGUUUCUAGUUUUAUUCUGACAUUGACACGUGUCGUGUUGUGAUUGGCUUCUGAUGUUGACACGUGUCGUGCUAUGAUUAGCUUCUGAUGUUGACACGUGUCACGUUGUGAUUGGCCUCUUGGUUGGAGGGAAACUCAAUGAGAGGGAAAAAUAAAAUUGAUGAUAGGAAUUAGCGGGAAAAAAUAGAGGGAAAGUUUUGUUUUUUUUUUAUUUUCAGUUUUUUAAUCAUUUUUAAGAGUGAAAUGUUUUAACUACUCUCACAUGUUGUGCACAUGGUCUUACAUAACAGAAAUAUGGAUGGAAUACAUGAAAAACUAACGGUAGGGGGCAAAUCAGCUAAAAAAAUUAGUUUGAGUCCUUAAUUUUUCAAUAGAAAAAUUUAAGGGAAAAAUCGAAAGCUAAGUGAAAGUUCAAGAGGUAAAUCGUCAGUUUACUCUAUUAAGUAAUAGCGCGGCGGGAGGGAGAGGGAGUGGGACUGAGUGGGGAGUAGACAUGCAGGACACGCAGCAUAUAAAGCCUGAAGAAAUGCAACCUAGCCCUGCUGGGCCAACAUUGCAUAGCAUAGAACCCCUAGUAGCAUUGUAGCAUUGCCACAGAAAGUGAGAGCAGUUGAAGGAAUCUAUUGCAGAAGCUUUUCUUCUUCCAAUUAAUUGUUAAAUUUACUAUAUUAUAUAAAAAGUAAAUUAACCAAAUUCAUUAAUAUAAGUAGUUCAUCUUUAGUACAGUGUCUUUUUUGUCAAACAAGAUUACUUUCAUUAAUUAAACAAGAAAUAGAAAGUUUAAAGACAAGCUAAAUACAAGCAUAGCCUAAAUGUAAAUAUAACAGAAAAAGAUGAUGCUAUAGAGAUCAAAUUAAUUUUGAAACCAAAUUAUGUGUCACUAAUAAGCAAUAAACAUUUUACUCAACACUUAAGUAAUAAUUCAAUCAUCAACAACCACAUCAUUUGGUUUACAAAAUUUGAUCUACUUAGCAUUACUUUAACAAAAAAACUCAUAAAGAGUAAGCUCACAACAACAAAAACCCUAUAUCUGGAAGAAUGUAGACUCCACCACACUAGCUGGCCAUCGCCAAUCCGCCACCACAACCACCAA
rnacentral:lncRNA from 1 species